rnacentral:lncRNA from 1 species
CAGCGCGGUCUGCGAUCUGUUUCUGUGACACGAUGCGGUAGAUCUCUGCAAAGGGGGUACAGGGGGACGUGGGGUGAGCCAGCACGUGCCCUGCCUGCCGAGGGGAACCCCUCCCUGCAGGACUCCAGAGGCCCUCUCCAGACCCCCACAGCGCCCCCAUCACAUCAGGGGUAACAAGGACAGGGGCUGCGCACCCAGCCAGGACCCACAUCUGGUCACAGCCAGCCCCGGCCUCUCGCUCCCUAAGAUCAGAAGCGCCCUCCUCCCUCAGAGGUAAACUCCCAGAAGCCAAAAGGCUCCAGGUCCCUGAGGCUACCCGCCUCCCCGCAGCGCCAAGAGUUAAGGCAGGGCCCAUCCCCAGGAACUGGGGCCAGGGGGUCUCUGUGUCCCCAGUGCCAGCAAGGGCUAGACCUGGUCUGACCCUGUGAAGUGUCCAGGUGGACCGGCAGGUUUAAAAAGCAAAGGUUAGGGGUGGUGGUGGAAAAAAAUCAAACAGGCCAGGUGCAGUGGCUCACGCCUGUAAUCCCAGCACUUUGGGAGGCUGAGGCAGGAGGAUCACUUGAGCCCAGGAGUUCGAGAUCAACCUGGACAACAUUGUGAAAUCCUGUCUCUACUAAAAAUUACAAAAAUUAGCGGGUGUGGUGGCAGGCACCUGUAAUCCCAGCUACUCGGGAGGCUGAGGCAGGAGAAUUGCCUGAACCUGGAAGGCGGAGGUUGCAGUAAGCUGAGAUCGAGCCACCACACUCCAGCCUGGGCAAAGAGCAAAAAUCCAUCCUGCCCCGACAAAAAAAAGAAAAAAACAAGCAAACGAACAAAACAAGCGAAGGUUCAGAGGCCGUGUUCCACCCUGCCUGGCUGGUGCCCUACCCACACCCAUCUGGUCCCCGGCCACCUGUGAGGAUGUUCUUGAAUGCUUCCUCUACGUUAGUGGAAUCCAAGGCUGAGGUCUCGAUGAAGGACAAGUUGUUCUUUUCUGGAACAAAGAAUACUGCCUAGGUGAGU